UUAGCAACAAUCUGUGCUACCUUUAGCUUAUCAUAUUAUAUGUUAUGUUAUAGCUCUAUCUUCUUUUUAGUCUUUUUUUGUUUAGUUUUGUUAGUCCCCCUUAAAAAAUAGAUUUCAAACUUCACCUGGUUCACAGGUGCAGGAUGGAGGUCAGGCUGGAGCCAAUUGUUCUCUCUGCAGACCUGAUGAUCCCAUGUGAUCUGUUCCUGUCCUGUGGAGUGGCCGAUCCGAACCACACGCCGAUGGAAGAAGAGAGAACGGAGGGGAGGAUGGUGCUCGGCGGCCCUCGGAAAGGAUGACAAACAGGCCAGCGUCCUCCCAGACAGCAGCAUGUUUUCCGGCUCCGUCAACGGGAGUCGACGGUCAUCCCGGCCGCGAGGAUUUCCCAGCACUGGCCAAUUACUGUAGCUGCCGGUCUGCAUGCAAGUGUGUGUCGGGGAGUGUGUGUGGGUGGGCGCGUGUUCUUUGCGUGCAGUCAGGGGGUAAAGGGUGAUAAAGACACUUAUCGGAGAAUGUAAAUGUGUGUAAGUAAUAGUGUGCGCCGAGUUAGAACAGGCAACAUUCUCUGUAAUUGUUCAUACUGAUGUUUGAGCUUUAGUCACACAUUUCUAACCCUGACAUGCAGUUCUAGGUCACUGAGUGAAGAAAGCUCAUAUUCCUUCAUUUGUCAAGAUCGCUUGCAAACCCUAAAUAAACAUUACAGCAGACUAACAUUGUCUCACAAUCUGAGGCUUAAUAUUCUUAUAAUCACAUGAUAAGGAGAGGAAUAUCACAUAUCACAUAUUUGCCUCAAAGGGCUUUACAAGUACAGCAUACGACACCCUCUCUCCCUGGACCCUUGCAUUAGACACAAAAAUCUGUUUUGGGGGGGUUUUCAUCUACCAGGAGACAUAAUAAAGUAAAACAUAAUAAGUUUGAAAGUACUGUCUACUUUGCUUAAUAAAAUCAUAAAUAUGAACAAUGUCAAUAGCAGCACUUGACAGCGCAAUCCGACAAAUCCUCAUAUCAUUCAACUCAAUACAUUUUAUUUUGUAG